GGGCACUGUCUCAACGAGAGACUCGGUGAAAUUAUAGUACCUGUGAAGAUGCAGGUUACCCGCGACAGGACGGAAAGACCCCGUGGAGCUUUACUGCAACCUGAUAUGGAAUGUUUGUACCGCUUGUACAGGAUAGGUAGGAGCCGAAGAGACGUGUGCGCUAGCAUACGAGGAGGCAAUGGUGGGAUACUACCCUGGCUGUAUGACCAUUCUAACCCGCCACGCUUAGCGCGUGGGGAGACAGUGUCAGGUGGGCAGUUUGACUGGGGCGGUCGCCUCCUAAAGAGUAACGGAGGCGCCCAAAGGUUCCCUCAGAAUGGAUGGAAAUCAUUCGCAGAGUGUAAAGGCACAAGGGAGCUUGACUGCGAGACUGACAAGUCGAGCAGGGACGAAAGUCGGGCUUAGUGAUCCGGUGGUUCCGCAUGGAAGGGCCAUCGCUCAACGGAUAAAAGCUACCCCGGGGAUAACAGGCUUAUCUCCCCCAAGAGUCCACAUCGACGGGGAGGUUUGGCACCUCGAUGUCGGCUCGUCGCAUCCUGGGGCUGUAGUCGGUCCCAAGGGUUGGGCUGUUCGCCCAUUAAAGCGGCACGCGAGCUGGGUUCAGAACGUCGUGAGACAGUUCGGUCCCUAUCCGUCGCGGGCGCAGGAAAUUUGAGAGGAGCUGUCCUUAGUACGAGAGGACCGGGAUGGACACACCGCUGGUGUACCAGUUGUUCCGCCAGGAGCAUCGCUGGGUAGCUAUGUGUGGCAGGGAUAAACGCUGAAAGCAUCUAAGCGUGAAGCCCCCCUCAAGAUGAGAUUUCCCAUUUCUUCGGAAAGUAAGAUCCCUGAAAGAUGAUCAGGUAGAUAGGUUUGGAGUGGAAGUGUAGCGAUACAUGGAGCGGACAAAUACUAAUCGAUCGAGGACUUAACCAAAA
rnacentral:rRNA from 1 species